rnacentral:lncRNA from 1 species
UUUUUUUUUUUUUUCUUUUUCUUUUUUGAGGUGGACAAGAAUCGCCACGUGUCGGUGCACGAUUGGGUGGUCGCAUGAGACACCUGGUACGGUUGUCGCAGAGAAAAUUUUCUCUUAAUAAGAACGAGACCUACGUCUAUUUAAGCGAUACAAUGGCAACACUUGUAUCAAGCACGUCUGCUGUCCGCUUCUUCAUUUUGUGAAGGGACCGGAUAUAUUAAUACAGUAUAAACAAGGGUGCCCGCCAAACGGUGCUCUAAUCUAUAUAAGUAGUGCGUAAUUACCUCAAUGACUCCACAACCACAACUACCCAAAUGGCGGCCCAUUCAUCUGAGAUGCAGGUAUCACCGCCUGAUGAUCUUCGUGAUCAUGAGGCUAGGCUAGAAGAGGCCAUUCCGGAAGCUACCGGAGGCGAUGAAUGUUUGGAAGGCAUGGAGCUUGCUGUAUACAAUGCCGCAAAACAAGGCGACAUUGUUGCCCUUUCGAAUUCAGAACAUAGGGAUCAUCUUCACCAAAUAUUGACUCCAACUGGAAACACAAUCCUCCAUAUCUACAUAGCAUGUGCAACGUCAUUCGAUCUCAAAGAAGUGAGCAAAUCAGCCAUCGGCGUCGAGAAGAUUCUUCAAAUGUGUCCACCACUACUGCUGCAGUCCAACAAGAUCGGCGACACUGCAUUACACAUUGCGGCAAGAUACGGAUGCACUGCUAUAGUUGAAAUGAUUUUGCAGAUUGGCAAAAAAAAUCGUGACGAAGGAGAGGGAGCUUGGCCGAGAAUCAUCAGCAAAAAAAAUAAGGAGGGAAACACAGCCUUGCACGAGGCCGUGCGGUUUAAUCACUUUGAUGUGGUGAAGAUGUUGUCGUUGACCACACAAGAUGUUCAUGAGCAGAUUUCCUACUCUGCUAAUGUCGCCGAAGAGACUCCUCUAUACAUGGCUGCCGAAAGGGGAUAUCGUGAUGUGGUUUUUCAAAUCCUACUAAGUUGCACAGAUCCAGCUUACCAAGGCCCCAAUGGUAGAACUGCUCUACAUGCUGCAGUCAUACGCAACCAUAAAGGUUAGAGACUUUUCUUUUUCUUCUGUGAUUACAUAAAUUGGAAGACUACCAUGAGUCCAUGAGUCCAAUUUCAUGCUCGCCACUUACUUGAAAGUGUUUUAAACUUUCAUCUCAAAAAAAAGAAAGUGUUUUAAACUUACAUUAAUCCCACUUAGUUAUUCUAUUUUUGUUAUCUGUCGAUCUUUCUAAUUAAUGAACAUCGUAUAUUUGUUUUCAUCAUUUAAUAAAGUUCAUUGGUUAUAUUAAUUCACCAUUUAAAAUCUAAAAAAAUUAAAAUGGUAAAAUUGGUAAUGCAAUAGAUACUAUGCUUUGACAAUAUAUAUUAUGUUGAAUUGAAACAAAUAUUUUUAUUAUAGAGAAAUACCAUAUCAGUGCCCAUGACCAAUAUAUCCACUGUGCCACAUUAAUUAUAUAUAUUUUUGAUAUUGAUAGUGUUCUUAUUGUAAGUGGCUCCCACUUCCAAGUAAUUCCACACGAAUCACUGGUAUGGUAUUUAUUGUCAUGGGACAAUAAUUUUCCUAUAAAUUUACCCAUUGUUGAAAUGCACUUGGAAAAGAAAUCGUCUACAUACCGUAGCUAGAUAUAAGAUGAAAGAGAAUUGUUGCUAGCUAGCUACUUGAGAAGUUCUUGUUAGUUGAUUAUAUCUAUUUAAUUAUUAAUUGUCUUUUCUUUUUUGUGCAUGGUUAUUAAGAGAUGACGAAGAAGUUACUAGAACGUAUAAGGGGUCUAACAAAAGCAGUAGAUGAACAAGGAUGUACUCCGCUUCACCUUGCUGCGUCCUUGGGUCACACUUCAAUUGUAAAACUAUUACUCAAACAUGACAGAUCUGCUGCCUACGUUAAGGAGAAAGAGGAGAAGAAGACGGCUCUUCACUUUGCAGCAAUGAAAGGCCAUGUACAUGUAAUGAAACAACUAAUAUCCCAGUGUCCUGAUUGUUGCGAAUUGGUGGACAAGAAUUCUCGCAAUUUCCUACACUGCAGUAUCCUCGCCGAUAAAGAAAUUAGUGUAGUGUAUUUCGUGCUAGAAGAUCCAUGGCUUAGCAACAUCCUCCUAAAUGGCAAGGACGACAAUGGAGACACACCCCUCCACUAUCUUGCUGAUACUUGUUGCGACCACACUUUUGGUGACGGUUUAGUAAUAGAUGCUAGAGUUGAUAAGAUGACAUUCAACAAAGCAAAUCAAAACGCUCUUGAUAUUCUUCUACAAAUUACACAAAUUAAAAGAUACUCUUUGAUCUUAACAAAACAGGUCACUUUUUUAUUUUGACUACUUUAAUCAAGUAUAUAACGUAGUAAGUUGAAGUUAUUUAUAGUUUUCAAUAAAAAUACUAAUCUUAUAUAUGUGUGUGUUACAGGGCCAACUGAAAGAAAAAUUAAAAAUGAAUGGUGUCAUACCAGGCUGUCGACAUGUAAGGGACAAAGAGGAGGUACCGGUUGAGAAUAAAGAAAAGGAAAAACCAAGUGAAGACGAAUACAGGGAAGUGAAGGAGACCCAUCUUCACACACUUUAAUCAAGCUGCUCUAGCCAAAUUGGGUUGGAAAAUCCUAACUGAACCUCAAAACUGGUGGGUUUCUUUAAUUCGUGCCAAAUAUCUGCAAAGAAAAACCUUCUGGGAUGUUAAACCAACUAAUAAUGCUUCUUAUGCUUGGAAGAGUAUUCUUUCUACCAGAUCCUUGUUACAAGAAGGUAUUCAAUGGUUAGUUGGUGAUGGUUCUCAUAUCAAUUUCUGGCUUUUUAAUUGGGCUUAUCCCUUUUCUCUCAUUAUUUUUGUUCCCCAACAUCUACAUCCUCAUGUCAAUUUCACUGACACAGUAGCUCAGUUCAUACAUAACCAACAAUGGUCCCUUUCAAGACUUCAUCACCUUCUUCCUCCUGAAGUUAUUUCUCAUAUUUCUAAAAUUCCUCUUCCUUUCUUUCCUCAGCAUGAUUCCAUGGUAUGGGGAGCUUCGGGGAAUGGAAAAUUUUCAAUUCAUUCCGCUUCUAGUCUUCUGAGUUCUCGAAUUCCUCCUCACUCUCAAACUCCCCUCCUCACUAAAGUUUGGAAACUUAAAAUUCCUCCAAAAGUCAAAGUUUUUGCAUGGCAGCUUAUUCGAAAUAGACUCUCUACAAAAGAUAGAAUUUUUACUAACCAAUUCAUAGAUCGUUCUUGUCCUUUUUGCCACUCUCACUUAGAAACCACUGAUCACAUUUUCCUUCAUUGUCACUUUGCUUCUCAAGUCUGGAACCUCACUUUUCCUUCAAUCCCCUCAUUACAAUUUCCUUCCUUCCUCCACCUUCUUAAACAUCUAAACAAUCUUUCCAAUACACAACUUCCUUUUCUUGAAAUUGCCUUAACUACGGCCUACAUCCUUUGGAAACAGAGAAACUCUGCCAUUUUUCGUAACCAAGCUCCUGCCCCUCCCAAUGUUGUCUUCUCAGCUGCCAAUCUUUUUAAACAAUUCCGAAAUUGUCACCUUACCAAUUCUCAUAAUAAUUUCUUUUCCACAACUGUUUUCAAAUGGUAUCCUCCUCCUCCAAAUUGCCUCAAACUUAACUUUGAUGGAUCGGUUAUUAACCAUAUAUUCAGCAGCUUCUGGAUUUGUCUUUCGGAAUUCUGAAGGCAAUCCAAUCCUGGCUUCCACGAAACAUGUUGGAGAUCAAGACAUCCUCACAGCUGAAACGUUAGCCUUAAGAGCCGGUCUCACUGGAGCCUGGUAUCAUAAUUUCACUCAUUUUCAGGUUGAAGGAGACUCCAAAACUCUCAUUGACAGUAUUAAUGGAACAAGGACGUGCCCUUGGAGAAUUCUCACAAUUGUACGAGAUAUUAAACACCUUGCUUCGCUUCUCCAAGUCUCUUCUAUCUGCCAUAUCAAGAGGGAACAAAAUUUUGUGGCAGACGCAAUAGCAAAACUUGGUCAUACCAUUUCUGUAAAGGCUUGGAAUGCUUCUCUUCCCUUAUCAGCCAGUUCAGCUUUUUAUUUUGAUCUUAUAGGAAACGGUUGUUUUAGGGGUUUCCAGUUGUAAUUUAUUUCCAUCCAGUCAAAAAAAAAGUGAAGGAGACCCAUCUCCUAGUGGCUACACUUAUAACAACUGUAAGUUUCGCAGCAGGUUUUACGAUGCCUGGUGGUUACCAAAGUGAUGCUACAUCACCAAACCAAGGUUCUGCAACUCUAGCCAGAAAUGAAUCUUUCCAAAUUUUUGUUGUAACGAAUACCAUGGCCAUGACUUUGUCUACUUGCUCUGUAUUGCUGCAAUUUUAUUCGCUUGCGUUUCCAAGGACUGGGAUCCUCUCCUCAUAUUUCUCUGCUCAUACUUCCUCAUAAAUGAAUCUGAGCCAUCCAAUCUUAAUGGAUGGCCAGGAUUUCUCUGGCUUUAUUCCCUCAAAUUUCAGACCCAGAGUAUAAACCCAGGAGUAGGUUGAUAUGAACCCAGAAGUAGGGUGAUCAAUUUUGGGUUGAUAUUGGUACCGGCGACGAUACCAAAAUGAUGAAAGUUCUCAUUGCGAAGGAACACUUUGAAUAUAACUAAAUUUAACACACGGCUAAAUUUUUGCACAAAGUGAGGCCAAGUUUCAACUGCCCAUCUAUUUCCAUUCUUCCCUCUUGCAUUGCUCAUAUUUCUAGAACGUAUCUAUUCGAUCUUUGAUCAAUAUCCUUCAUCUUGACUGAACUACUUGGCUUUAAAUUUUUUCUUUUAGUUUUAACUCUCACUCCCAAAUAAAAUAUUUCUUAUCACAAAUCAUAUAUAGCUUCAGUUGCAGCAUAUUAGCAACUAAUUAUAACAAGCUGGGAUCUCUCAUAUCAUGAUUUCCAUAACACUACAAGAACCAGUCUUUCUCACAAAACAUAAACCCAGUAACAUGCAAAGAACAUUGCUUUUUCCAUCGCUGAAGACAAAAGCGAAGACCCAUCAACGAGACCUUCUUGCUUCUCUCUCAUACUCGAGCAGGAUGAGGAUGUCGCUCUACCUGACCGGUUCCUUGAGGUUUCUCAUGAUUAACCGGUUCUGGUCGUCGUGACGGCUGCGACAACAGACGAUCCUCGAGACCCGUCAACGCAUCCUUCUUUCUCUUUCGGCUGCUGAUUCGAUUCGAACAACAGAGAGGUAGUAAAAGUGUAAAACUAUAUGCAAUAGGAAUUAUGGAGCGAAAGAUAUCAGCUUUGGGGUUGGGGGUGAGAGAGGGAAGAGAGAGAUGAGAGGAGAUCGGCGAUCAGAAAUCUAUACGAGAAUUUGGGAAGAAGAUAGACUAAUCACCUUAAAGAAUGUAAGAUAAAUCCUGACCAUCUAUUAAGAUUGGAUGGUUCAGAUUUAUUUAUGAGGAAGUAUGAGCAGAGAAUUAUGAGAAGAGGAUCCCGAUCCCGUUUCCAAAGCGGCUAAGGCUGGAUAAGGGGAAUCUUUAUCUUUAUCUGUUGACCAUGUGGGCUUUGAUGUUAAUGGUGGUUGCGUUUCUUUCGGGUACAUAUGCAGUACUGGAUCCUAAUCCAAGGCUUGCAGAAACGGUUUAUUGGCUUGGCCUCAUUUUAUUCUUUGGCGUAGUUGAAUUCAUGUUUUAUGAUCAAAGAGAAUUAAUGAAUGCUACAUUCGGUCCCUUUAUUUGGCUGGCGACGAAGAUGUUUUAUGGUAUCCGCAAAUUAUACAAAUGUCUCCGGCCGGUCUCCGCUGCAUCAAAAGGAAAGCGGUCAAAGCCCAUGGUUCCUACCCGUAGUACCAUCGAUGAGAUGGACAGACAAAUGAUUGUAUAAAGGAAAACUAUGUUGCUUCUCAUGAGUGGCCUGAUAGGGUGAAAUGGGAGUCAUAUUGGUAUGUACUAUGCAGAGUCGUUAAUUACUUUGUUUUUCCCAAGUACAACAAGUUGUUGUUUAUUUAUUUGAGUCUGAAAUAACCUUGUAGCAAACAAAUGUUAUCUUUUCCGGGGGAUUGUCAGUUACAAGUUAAUAUCCUUCUUGCUCAUGAGUUCUUUCACCCCCUCCAAAAUUAUGCGUUUAGCUUAAAACUUGUACAUGAAUAAAUCAUGGCAGAGUGAGAUAUGGACAUGCUUGAGAUAUGUGGCAAGCACUGAAAGUGAGACUGCCCAACUAUCUCAAGCAUCCCCACGCGUUCUUACAAUUACAAAACCUUGGCCUUGGGAAAAUGCCAUGCUUACCAAAUGAGAUUACAACUAUAUCCUACUUCACUAAUCAAAGCAUAUAUGUGCGUGAAUCAACAGCAUCAAACCAAUUUCAAGAGACCAAUCAAUCAUGUAACUUGAGUGGUACAGCCAUCGUCACUUAGGUUUUCCAAUGGCUAUGAACAAGCAUCAUAAUGAUUGAAUUUGACCCCCAUACCCAUAAUUCUUCAAGAGCCCCUCAUCUUGCCGCCAAUUCUCUUUAACCUUCACCUCAACCUGUUAAAAGAAGGGACUUAAAAGAAUGAGCAAGUCUUGAAAAACUAUCAGAACUAAAACAUAAUAAUUUAGACAGUGGUCAUGGGAUGAUAUGACACCUCUAGAAAAACUUUUUUCUGUAAGGAAAUCUUCUAUGUCAAGCCGUGAAGUUGUUGCAAGUAGUUUCAAAGCUCUCCCAUCCUACAACGGUUCAGUACAAGACAAUCAGUAAGUGAACUUUUGCUUCCAACUGUGAUGGCACAUCAAAGCUCUAUAGUUUCGCAAGAUACAUGCCUUUACGCUCACGUACAUGUUCCAGAGUAAGUCUUUGAUCAAGACAAAUAUAACAGAGAUGUAUUUAUACAGUGUGCAAAGCGCAUAUGAACAUGUUAUUCCGUAAUAGCUAAUAAGUUUACAACCCUCCUAUAACCAUAGCAAAAGGCUUCCAAAACUAAUAAUAAGAGCAUUAUAUACAUCAGAUAGCCAUAAAUUUCUAUCAAGCAAACCAACAAAUCCACAAUUAAGGAUUACUUACUUUUCCGAUAAGGAUGAUUUUCUGUGAAUUUUUCUCAACAACUAUUUCCACUUGUAUAAAAAAUCUUUUGCUGCUGGCCUACUUUUGUAGCUCACGACAUUCACCUGGAUAUUAAACCAAGUGAGGGUAAAGAUUAAAGCUACUAGAGAUACUACCAUCUUCUUUUUUCCUUUAAUAUUUUGUUUUCUUCAUUCCUCACAAAUCAUAUCUUCUUAGCUUCUCAAUGACUCACCUGACAUGCAUAAGGAAUCUCUUUCCUGUAUUGCAUAAAGAUCUUUUCUCUCACAAUCUCUGAUACAAAAAAUCUCUCCGGGUGCUCACUUAUGAUGUCCUGAGGAAGCAUACACAAGAAAAUCAGUACUUUUCCUCUAAUUAUUUAUCAGCAAAACACACCAACCCAUCCACAUUAUAACCCGCUCGAACAAGACCAGUGAUAACAGUAGUUCACGACACCACAUAUCAACAAGAGCACUCCCCACAAAGACCGAGUUCACAAAACCCGAUUUCACCGUAAGUCAACUCCUCACCAAGUCCGCACCCCUUGAGCGCAACGCUGAGAAGAAAAGGGUCCAUGCCGAUACCCAGCUGCACCCACAUGUUUGGAAAACAGCACCAAUGCUUCAGAGGAAUCAGAGACUCCAACGUAGGCUGAGAUCAUAUUGGUCCAUGUGACCUCGUCUCUAUUGGGCAUUUCAUCGAACACUUUCCGGGCAUGUUUGACUUCACCACCUUUGACGAGCUGCUUCAAUUGGGAGUUGAGUUCGGGAAUGUCUACGUGAUUAGGCUGAUGGGUUUUGUGAUAUAGAAGAAGAAGGCUUCUGCAUUGUGGAUGGGCAAAGGUUGAGCUCGUGAAUACCCUUCGAAAAUGAGGUCUGAUCGUUAAAACCGGACGGAACUAGGAAUGAAAACCGGGGUGGGCUACAUUUGCCUUAUGCAGAACAAAAUUUCUGCCCAAUUUCAAUUUAGCUUUGUCAAACCCUGUCCUGAAUCCCUGAUGCCCAAUCUGUUUCUAUUAUUCUAUAUCAGUAUUUUUCCUUAAAGCAUAACAGCAGAACAAAAUAUAGAUUCCAUGCAAAAAAAACAAGCAUUUUAGAGCUAUUUCCUGCAUACAGAAGAAAUAUGCUAAACGGCAGUGAAAAUUCUAAGCCAACACUUGAAUCUUUUUGUUUGUUUGAUGAAACUGCAAAUAUAUUUCUUCAUAGAUAAAACCAUACUGUCAUACAUAAUACAUCCAAUUGGAAAACAGUAGUAAUGAGACCACAAACUCAAAACAUCAUAUGAAAGCACACUGGUAAUUCCCCUACAUUCUAAAUUCCACAGCCAACACUUGACUUAUUAAUUCUGAAGUAUUACAUAUUAGAGAGAAAUAUAACCUAAUUCAUAAUCUCAAUUUGUCAGGAAAGCCCUAAAUAACAUAACCUAAUUCAUAAUCCCAAUUUGUCAACAGAGUUUCUAUUAGCUCAGAAAUAGAAACAAUACAUGGCAUUGUUUAAUCAAUAUAACCUAAUUAAGGCUUGGGCACUUCUCACUGGGAGUACAGCCCACCUAAUUCAUAAUCAAAGGAAGUUCCUAGAAAUUAAGAAGAAGAGUUUGCAAAGCAUAUGGAGAUUAGAGAGAGACAAAAGAUGAGAGGCAAUUUUGUAUUUUGAGCGAUGGUGUGCUAACAUGUACUGAAAUUUUUCUUCCCAAAAAAAUGAGGUGGGCUGGCCCACCCCUGGUUCCGUGCCAAACCAUGUUCUAAAUCAGUUCGUCGUCUCUAGCGGUCAACUAUAGUCUUUGCAUACAUCUUAACACGUGGGCUGCUAUAAACCGACACCAAUUUGGACAGGUGGACGGUCCACAGGAAAAAACAGAGCAAAAAAACCGAAUCCAAAUCAGAGAAACCAAACCCUAGAUCACGAUCCCAGCCACGGCCGAUCACGCACAAACCUUGAGCGAGACCACGGCAGCCCACAUUCUACCAAAACGUAGAGAUCCAAGGCCUUCAACGACCGAGUCAACGGAAGAGAGCCGCCGAGCGAGAGGGAGGCGCUGCGGUUUCGGGAAAGAGACGGAGGCUAUUCGCCGGCGAAGAAGUUUCCCGGCGAAUAGAGAGAGGAAUAGUGAAAGGGAAGAGAGAGAGAGAGAACUAACAGACCGAGUCAACGGCGACUCGACGGCUCUGACGUGUGGACGACAGACCUCCACGAUAGCACAACGGCACGCCAGCCGACUGGUCCAAUUUGUCGUCGGUUUAUAGCAGCCCACUAAAAUUCUACUUGUUACUAAAAUUUAAGGGAUAGGAGUAGAUCUGUAGUUUAGUACAACAUGUACAGUACUUACACUAAACAACUACUUGUGUGCCCUUGCAUUAUGGAAUGAAAAUGCUCUUUCGAAGGAAGGCGCGCGCCAUAUAUAUAUACGGCGCUCUAAUCUAUCUAAGCAGUGCAUAACAACUUCACAACCUCCAAAACAACCACUACCGAUGGCGUCCAAUUCAUGUGAGGCUAGGCUAGAAGAGGCCAUCCCGGAAGCUACCGGAGGCGAUGAAUGUUUGGAAGGCAUGGAGCUUGCUGUAUACUAUGCCGCAAAACAAGGCGACAUUGAUGCCCUUUCAGAACAAAAAUAUAAGGAGCGUCUUCACGAAAUAUUGACUCCAACUGGAAACACAAUCCUCCAUAUCUACAUAGCAUGUGCAACGUCAACCGAUCGCAAAGAAGUGAGCAAUUCAGCCAUCGUCGUCGAGAAGAUUCUUGAUAUGUGUCCACUACUACUGCUGCAGUCCAACAAGAUCGGUGACACUGCAUUACACAUUGCGGCAAGAUACGGACGCACUGCUAUAGUUGAAAUGAUUUUGCAGAUUGGCAAAAAGAAUCGUGACGAAGGAGGAGGAGCUUGGCCGAGAAUCAUCAGCGAAACAAAUAAGGAGGGAAAUACAGCCUUGCACGAGGCCGUGCGGUUUAAUCACUUUGAUGUGGUGACGAAGUUGACCACACAAGAUGUUCAUGAGCAGAUUUUCUACUCGGCUAAUGUCGCCGGAGAGACUCCUCUAUACAUGGCUGCCGAAAGGGGAUAUCGUGAUUUGGUUUUUCAAAUCCUACACAGUUGCACAGAUCCAGCUUACCAAGGCCCCAAUGGUAGAACUGCUCUGCAUGCUGCAGUCAUACGCAACGAUCAAGGUUAGAGACUUUUCUAUUUCUUUUGAGAUUACAUAAAUUGGAAGACCACCACGAGUCCAUGAGUCCAAUUUCACGCUCGCCACUUACUUGAAAGUGUUUUAAACUUUCAUCUCAAAAAGAAAAAGAAAAAUAAGUGUUUUAAACUUACAUUAAUUAAUCCCUAUUUUUGUUGUCCGCCAAUCUUUCUAAUUAAUGAGCAUCGUAUAUUUGUUUUCAUCAUUUAAUAAAGUUUAUUGGUUAUAUUAAUUCACCAUUUAAAAUCUAAAAAAGUUAAAAUGGUAAAAUUAAUAAUGCAAUAGAUACUAUGAUUUGACAAUAUAUAUUGUGUUGAAUUGAAACCUAUAUUUUUAUUAUAAAGAAAUAUUUCUUCAUAUUAUUGCGGCCAUAAAUUUUAAGCCUCAUUGAGACGCCAUAUCACUGCUCAUAACCAAUAUCCCAUGUGCCACGUUAAUUAUAUAUAUUUUUGAUAUUGAUAAUGUUCUUAUUGUAAGUGGUUCCCACUUCUAAGUCACCAAGUAAGUACAUUGUCAAAAAGAAAAAACUUCCAAGUAAGUAAUUCCACACGAAUCACUGGUAUGGUAUUUAUUGUAGUGGAACAGUAAUUUUCUUAUAAAUUUGCCCACUGUUGAAAUGCACUUGGAAAAGAAAUUGUUAACACACGGUAGCUAGAUGUAAGAUGAAAGGGAAUUGUUGCUAGCUAGCUACUUGAGAAGUUCCUGUUAGUUGAUUAUAUCUAUUUAAUUAUUAAUUGUCUUUUUCUUUUUUGUGCAUGGUUAUUAAGAGAUGACGGAGAAGUUACUAGAACGUACAAGGGGUCUAACAAAAGCAGUAGAUGAACAAGGAUGCACUCCGCUUCACCUUGCUGCGUACUCGGGUCACACUUCAAUUGUGGAACUGUUACUCAAACAUGACAGAUCUGCUGCCUACGUUAAGGAGAAAGAUGAGAACAGAACAGCCCUUCACUUUGCAGCGUCCAAAGGACAUGGAGAUGUAAUAGCACAGCUAAUAUACCAUUGUCCUGAUUGUUGCGAAUUGGUGGACAAGAAAUCUCGCAAUUUCCUACACUGCGGUAUCCUCGCCGAUAAAGAAAUCAGUGUAGUGGAUUUCGUGCUAGACGAUCCAUGGCUUAGCAACAUCCUCCUAAAUGGCAAGGACGACAAUGGAGACACACCCCUCCACUACUUUGCUGAUACUAAUCACCUCCGUCUUUCUGGUGGCGCUUUAGCAACAGAUGCUAGAGUUGAUAAGACGGCAUUCAACAAAGCAAAUCAAAACGCUUUUGAUAUCCUUUUUCAAAAUAAAGGAGACUCUUAUUUCUCAACAACACAGGUUAUUUUUUCAUUUUAACUACUUUAAUCAACUAUGUAACCUAGUAAGUUGAAGUUAUUUAUAGUUUUCAAUAAAAAUACUAAUUAAUAAUACAUCUUAUAAUAUGUGUGUGACACAGGGCCAACUGAAAGACAAAUUAAAAAGGAAUGGUGUCAUACCAGGCUGUCGAAAUGUAAGGGACAAAGAGGAGGUACCGGUUGAGAAUAAAGAAAAGGAAAAAUCAAGUGAAGAAGAAUACAGUAAAAUCAAGGAUUCCAAUCUUCUAGUGGCUACACUUAUUGCAACUGUAAGUUUCGCAGCAGGUUUUACGAUGCCUGGUGGUUACCAAAGUGAUAAAGGAUCAGACCAAGGUUUUGCAAUUCUAGCCCGAAGUGCAGCUUUCCAAGCUUUUGUUAUAACAAAUACCAUAGCCAUGACCUUAUCUAGUUGCUCUGUCAUACUGCAUCUUUAUUCGAUUGGGUUUUUAAAGCGGAAAGUGUUUUCUGAGGCGUAUAUUUUUCUAUACGCGUUCACCAUGUUGGCUUUGAUUGCAAUGGUGAUUGCGUUUAUCACGGGCACAUAUGCAGUGUUGGGUCGUUCUUCAUGGCUUGGCAUUACGGUUUGUGUUCUUGGCUUCCUUCUAUUCUUUGUUUUAGCUGAAUUAUUGAUUAAUGAUGAAAGAGCAAUAAUGGAGGACCCUAUACGAUUGUUGCCUUUGAGUCUUUCAUCAGUAUUCUUCUUUUGGCUGGGGAUGAAGAUGUUUUAUGGUAUCCGCAAAUUAUAUUACAAAUGUCUCUGGCUGGUCUCCCCUGCAUCAAAAGGAAAGCGGUCAAAGCUCAUGGUUGCUACCCGUAGUACUUCCCUACUUCGUUAUGAGAUGGACAGACAAAUGAUUGUAUACAAUCGAUGUUAGGAAAGGAAAACUAUGUUAUAUUGGUAUGUAAUAUGCAAAGUCGUUAAUUACUUUGUUUUUCACAAGAAGAACAAGUUGUUUAUUUAUUUGAAUCUGAAAUAACAAACAAAUUUUAUCUUUUCCGGCGGAUUGUCAGGUACAAGUUAAUAUCCUUCUUGCUCAUGAGUUCUUUCACUCCCUGCAAAAUUAUGAGCUUAGCUUAAAACUUGUACAUGAAUAAAGCAUGAUAGAGUGGAGAUAUGGGCAUGCUUGAGAUAUGUGGCAUGCACUGAAAGUGAGACUGCCCAACUAUCUCGAGCAUCCCCACGCGUUCUUGCAAUUACAAAACCUUGGCCUUGGGAAAAUGCCACCAAAUGAGAUUACAACUAUAUCCUACUUCACUAAUCAAAGCAUAUCUGUGCGUUAAUCAACAGCAUCAAACCAAUUUCAAGAGACAACAUACAAUCAUGUAACUUGAGUGGUACAGCCAUCGUCACUUAGGUUUUCCAAUGGCUAUGAACAAGCAUCAUAAUGCUUGAAUUUGACCCCCAUACCCAUAAUUCUUCAAGAGCCCCUCAUCUUGCCGCCAAUUCUCUUUAACCUUCACCUCAACCUGUCAAAAGAAGGGACUUAAAAGAAUGAGCAAGUCUAGAAAAACUAUCAGAAUUAAAACAUAAUAAUUUGAACAGUGGUCAUGGGAUGAUGUGGCACCUCUAGAAAAACUUUUUUCUGUAAGAAAUCUUCUAUAUCAAGCCGUGAAGCUGUUGCAAGUAGUUUCAAAGCUCUCCCAUCCUACACCGGUUCAGUAUAGACAAUCAGUAAGCGAACUUUUGCUUCCAACUGUGAUGGCACAUCAAAGCUCUAUAGUUUCGCAAGAUACAUGCCUUUACGCACACAUGUUCCAGAGUAAGUCUUUGAUCAAGGUAUAACAGAGAUGUAUCUAUAGUGUGCAAAGCGCAUAUGAGCAUGUUAUUCCGUAAUAGCUAAUAAGUUUACAACCCUCCUAUAGCAAAAGGCUUCCAAAACUAAUAAUAAGAGCACUCUAUACAUCAGAUAGCCACAAAUUUCUAUCAAGCAAACCAACAAAUCCACAAUUAAGGAUUACUUACUUUUCCGAUAAGGAUGAUUUUCUGUGAAUUUUUCUCAACAACGAUUUCCACUUGUAUAAAAUCUUUUGCAGCUGGCCUACUUUUGUAGCUCACGACAUUCACCUGGAUGUUAAACCAAGUGAGGGUAAAGAUUAAAGCUACUAGAGAUACUACCAUCUUCUUUCCUUUAAUAUUUUGUUUUCUUCAUUCCUCACAAAUCAUAUCUUCUUAGCUUCUCAAUGACUCACCUGACAUGCAUAAGGAAUCUCUUUCCUGUAUUGCAUAAAGAUCUUUUCUCUCACAAUCUCUGAUACAAAAAAUCUCUCCGGGUGCUCACUUACGAUGUCCUGAGGAAGCAUACACAAGAAAAUCAGUACUUUUCCUCUGCAUUAUAUCACUUUCUCCCUCAAAUUUAAUUUUUACACUGUAUAAUUAUUUAUCUAAGACAUUUAUAUGAACACCCUACCCACCUCCCCAUCCUUUCACUACUUGAGCAGAUAAAAGGGUUCAUACUCUAGGAUAAAUCCAUUUCCUACAAUCACAAGUUUGCAGUUAAGAAAGAAAGGGAUAACAGGAUAAUGUGUAGAUAACUGAACUAGACAAGAAAGUUGGUGAUAGAGUUUUACAAAUAUCAAUUUAACUUAACCCCUCUGUUCAAACUUCAAACAUGAAAAAAGCAAAGUUGGAUAUUUGAAAGUUGUUAUUUCACUGGGAUACUGAGCAUGAAACUUUCCACACAUGCUCAAGGAACAGUUUCUCCAAAGUCAAACAGUAAUCGAGUUGUCUUCAGAAUUUAUUGAAGUUACUUGCAUAUAUCUAUUUUUGUAAUCCAUAACCCACAUUGUCCCUACUGGCCAAUUGGUGUUAAGGUAUUCAUACCUUUCUGCAAUUUCUAAUCUUACCAGUCAGAUAAACCAAGAUAAAAGGCUUGCAUAAAUAAGACAGGAACUACAAAAGUUCACUUCCCAAAAGUAAAAGAAAAGCCUAGAGCCCAAAACCUGACACUGUGAGUACCUUUGGAUAGUAAGCUGGGCCGAAGGGAAGUUUUGACAAUAUCCACUGCUUCACGUCUUCCACUCCCUGACCGUGUUUGGCACUCACUGGUAUGACCUCAUCAACAUUUGUAAACUUCUCAUACCACUGUAAAAUGUGAUACGUACUUAGUCUUAAAAACUCUACUGGAAUAACAAGAUCCAGAAUUACGUGCUAACAUAGAUAUCAACAAACAAUUACUAACCUCUACUUUCUUUGCAAUUUCACCUGGCUUUAUCAAAUCUUUCUUAUUCAUGACCAGCAAAGUCGGAGGCAGGCUAUCUGUCUGGUUACCCACACCUUCUUCCACCACUUCAUUAAUCUACCAAAAUAAGAGAGUGAUCUUAGGACAAGAGCACAAACUUUAACAUGAGAAACCUACAAAUGAAGAAGCAUACAUUUUCAGGCACUUUACAUGCAUCAACAAGAACAAGUACACAAUCCGCGUUAAUAACAGCGCUGCGCACGUUCUUCAUCAUCAUCGUAUCCAAUUUGUGCAUUUUCUUCUCAAUAACACCUGGUGUGUCAUAAAGUAUCAUCUGCAACCCAAUCCAUAAGUAAGAAACAGACGCAAUCGGUGAAAAUUCAGAAAACAUCCAGAAACUAUUGGUUCCAACAGAAACAUUUGACAAGCGGCAACUACAGAAGAAGCAGUUCUUAUUAACCAAUUAUCGAGUUCAAACACCCCCAACCGUCUUCCAUUUUUUGAAACAUUAGCAUAUGAACCAUUUACACUAUUCUCUUUUACCAAUUUAAACUCCACAUGUUACCGUAACAUUGUUUCCGAAAACAAAGAUAAUGACAGUAAUUUCAGCUAACAAUUCGAAAAUCAAACCUGAUAGUCUGAGCCAGAACAUAUACCAAGAAUUCUAUGCCUCGUAGUUUGCGGCUUAUCAGUAACAAUUGACAAUUUCUGACCCACCAUUUGGUUUGAGAGAGUGCUCUUUCCCACAUUGGGCUUCCCCAGAACAGCCACAUACCCUGCAUCAAUUUUACUCAACGGUCAAAAUUCAAAGUAAAAAAAGCUGAUAAACUGGUUAAAAUCAAAGAGAGAUUUUACCACUCCUAUGGUUAGGGUCAGUAGCAUAGUCAAGCUCCUCCAGCUCGUAGUCAUCUAGCAAAGCCAUGUUCCUGUCCGGCUUCUCACUCAGAGACAACAGCGCGGAGUCUUCGUCGGAAUAGGAGUACUCCGAGUCGUCUUCUUCUUGCUCGGCGAUCCAGAGCGGUGGUUUUGCGGCGGAGGAGAGUUUCCACGUGGCGAUUGUGGUUGGAAUUCUGGCGUGGAAUUUGGGUUUUCUAGUGGGACGAGGGAAGCGGUUGUUGUGGUGGUGGUGGUUUUGGGUAGUGAGGAAUUUGGAAUUGGAGUAAUGGGAGAGGGAAUAGUCUCUGGGGAGAGUUGCGGACCUGUGCAGAGCUAGCUCCAUUUUUGGAGCGCUUCAGUGUUUUCUGAUGAGUCUCUUCAGCCCUGUUUUGGAUAAACCUCUACCCCACGACGUCGUUUUAGGAGUUGUUAUUUUCCCUCUCUAUCAUAUUAUAUUGAAAUUUUUAAAAAAAAAAAAAUCAAAACUUGUUAACUUACACCCCGCACCCACGUAGCUAGGUAGGUGAACGAGAUUUGAACCUAUUACCUCAAUAUUAUCGGUUAAAUUAACUAACCAACUAAGCAACAUGUCACCAAAAAUCAUUUUUAGGCUACAACUUUCUCAGUAUGACUUGUUAUGGUGAGUUGAACGGUGGAUGGAGUUGCAAUGGUGUCAUGCCGACUGGAACCAGGCAAGGGAUAGGGAAGAGGUGUGUGGCAAGUCGUUUUUAGUUUCUUGUUUUGUAAGGUUUUGGUUUGGUUUGUUUGGUCAAUUGUUCGUCCCUACUCUGCUGAGCUGAGGUUAGGUCAAGUUGAGGUGCCAUGGAAGUUGUUAUUCCUAGGGAGAAAUUGGUUUAGUUUCGAUGUUAAUCUUUUGGUCAAUGUGCUGACGAGCGAUCCUUGCACAAGUAUGUUUGGGACACAAUGUGGAAGAUGGUCUCGAUUUAUUUGACAGUUGUCUACGAGGAGGUAUCAAGAUUCUCUGUAGCCCGAGAAUAUAAAUAGUUAAGGGUUUGGUCCUUUUGGCUCAUGAAAUAUAUAAUUCGGUUAGACACCGCUCAUUUAAUGUCAUAUAAAUCUUACCUGAUUCAAUAAAGGUUUCUUGUUCUAAAAGAAAAUGAAAGAUAACAUAAAGGAAAACGGUUUGCGCCAUCUGCUUUACCAAAAUUGAUACUUACAUUUUUGAUAGUUUCAUAUAACAAAUUCUAGUUAACUCAUGAUCUUAAUUACAUUGUAAAACUAAAAUUUGUAUAACAUAUCAAAAAUUCAGGACCUUUGAAGAUCUGGGAGUAGGGAUAAGGACAAGUGAGCACAACAGCAGUUUUCUAACAGAUUUUAAUUGAGUUUCACCUUCAAAUUUUGGUAGUUUUGACAAACAAAAUGACUUUUGAGAAACCUUUGUUGGUAUACUUGAUAAACUAGAGGCUCAAUGAAAUAAUCCAUGCAGAGAACACAAACAACAGAAGGAAUGACAGGCAGAAAACUUGAAGAUUUACUGAAAAAUACACUUGAAUAAUUGAGAGACACAUCAAAGGCAAGUUUACAUGCUAGGAGAAGAGGUACUGAACACAAUGAGUAUAUAUAACAACAGAGAUACAGGAAAAAAAAAAACAAAUAUAUUACAACACCAAUUGGCUAUUCGUAACCCAGGUAGCUAACUAAUUCCACUCUAAAAACAAGAGGUACCCUUAGAACAUCUAGCUUCUUCACUUGUUUCAGCCAUGAUUCGGCUCCAACAGGGUCAGUUGUUCUAGAAAAAUUAGGAGGAUUUAGUCAUUGGAACCUUGAGGUGAUUCACUCUCCUAUCAAGUUGUUGCUUCUCUUGGUCAUCACAGUAACCCUCAUCAGAACUUGAAGCAUUUGACAUCGUCAGGGACUCAGGGUCAGAAGAUGCAUAGCAAAACAUGGUUUCAUACUAACAAAAAAGUAACUAGACUAUCAAAACUCCUAGACAACCUCAGUAGAUCUGCUCCCUGGCCUCUAAUACCAUUUUAAGUCGCACUUGACACCCCAAGUUAUGGGGUGAGACAACACCCCAAGCGAAACUUUCUCAAGUUAUUGCCAAAAGAGUCCAUAUUGUAGAUGAAAAUAAACUGUCUACCGAAUUAGCAUAUUAUCCCUCCGUGUAGAUUAGUGUCAUAGCCAUCUAGGAAACAGAAAACCAGUUUUCAACAUGCAUCACAGUUGAUUUGCAAAGUUUUCAUCUUAUAGGUCCAUGUAUUCAGGAACUAUCAGUUAGUAACUUCGUAGUGUUUCAAAUGUCAGCUUGAUAGGAAUGAAGAUAAACUGUAAGAGAUUGCUACUUUGUUAGACAGUUCUAGAUUGAUCAGCAUAUUUUAGUUGACUUUUCAAACCAGAAGAAUAAACUUACAUAGGAGCCCUGACUGUUCAUAGCUUAAAUCUGAGAUUCGUCCUCCAUUGCCAGCAAAACCAUACUGUACCUGGAGAUCAUUCUACCAUGAAAACUAGGAUACAACUUCAGUUAGAGAACGUGUCUACUUCUCCCUAACCUCAUUGUUGUGAAGAUACUGACUUCAUUUAUAUAAAAUAUUGUUGUGCAGAGUGCAGACACUGACUUCAUUAAUGUAUAUUGUACAGGUUUCAUAAAUAGUAUAAACUGCAAUCAUCAAAAGGUACUCCAGACAAUACAUACAUAUAGCAGACAGAAAACACAUAGGUCAUCUUUAAGUCAGACAUAUAUUUGCAGUACCUAAUGAUCUGAUAUGCCCUUGAUACCUAUUAGAUUUGAUCCUAGAUACCUAAUUGUUGGAAUCUAAGUGAUAUUUUGACAGUCAUCAGUAGUGCUUGAUCUGCGAUCAAAAUAUUUUACUAACAACAGCACCCUAAGUUUUCGUCCUUAAGCACUUAUUAUUGUUAUAUUCAUAUGGGACACACGAAAUCCAGUAGUAGAAUUGAUGCAAUUACUGUCGAGAUCCUGACAAAGGAUUACAGACCAGAAUCAUAGUGGUCGCUGUCAAAAAGGGGCCACUGAUAACCAUCGGGGAGUGAUAAUACCUAUUCUAUUAUGUCUGAAAUAGGUAACGUUCAGGACAGUAAUGAGCAUCUGAGGAAUCAAGUUCCACUGAUCAAGACUUAGGAAUCUACACUAUCCCAGAUGAAAGUUUAUCAAGAUCAAUCUUUUGUAUGUUUCUUGUGGAAACUUGAUUAUGAAAACAAACAAAAAACCACGGAAAAUUUAGAAAGAACCACUGCAAUCGGUAAGUAGAACUUUCUAAUACAAAGCAUAAUUCGACUACAAAGUACAAACAAACUGACAAUCCUGAAAGAGCCACUGUUAUAAAUAGAUAGGUAUUUCUAAUAGAUAGCACAACUUACAUGGCGACAGCAGCAUAACAUGUAGAUACGAUGCUCACACACAAGCUAGAGUCUCCAUAUAAGGAAAAGUAACAUAGUCUUGAAUACCAUGAUUAUCACCGAAAGCUAGAUGAAGUUUCUCAUCGGCUAACUCAACAGAUGUCUUGAAGGUCUCAUUCCUCAGAUUAUAGGAUAUGAUCUUACCAGGCAGGUGCAACAAAAGAUGAGUUGAACUAUCCUCCUCAACCCCAUUCUCUGGAAAAAGACCCAAGACAACAAAAGCAUUCCAAUCCAGUCCAGGAAAAGCUGCCACUAGCGGAUUAAGAUCAACAUGAUACUUGACAAACCAGCCAGAGUAGUCUCUCUCCAUCUCCAUCACAUCAAAUUGGGUGUUCCAAUGCUGGUAAGUCUCGAUCAAAUACAAAUGGCCAGCCGACUCCCCAAAAUAUCUUUGCCUCAAUCUCGGCCAUGUAGCAGUAAUGUUUUUGACAAGCAAGGGAAGAGGAGGAGUACUAGACACGAGUCCCAAUCGUUCUUCAGCUAAGUCAAAGUAGUGGGAUACAUCAGUCUCUCGUCUGAGAAACUCAUCAUCACGAGACAGCAGUGAUGCAUAAUGACUGUGUCUAAUCCAAUGAAGUAUGCCAUUGCAGAAAACCGCGCUUUCGCUGCUCCUCGCAUCAAACUGCAUGGCCAUCUCCUUGAAAUCAUAGUGUAUAGACCACCUUGUAAUGAGGCGAUUUGGAAGGAUCGUAAGCCAAACCAUAACGUACAAAAUCAGCAAAACGUACAAAAUCAUAUAUGUCCUCGUCUUGAAUGUUUGGAGAAGAAAGAGCUCGGAAUUGGUUGGUUGAAGGAUUGACGACAUAUACGGGAUGAUGUUCACCGUAUAUGGGAACAUGGCAGAGAAAGAGGCCAUUGCAGGACUGAAGAAUCCUCAAAUUAGGGACGGAAUUGGUAAGGGUUUUGAAGGGAUUAGGUGGGAUUUCAGGAGGGAUGGACUUGAAGGACUCGUCGAAAAAGCGGAGAUUUUGGGGUUAGGGUUUUGGAGCGUGUGGCGGCGACGGAAGUCGGGGUCGGAGAUGAGAGAGAGCCAUUGCUUGGAGACGCACUUGAAGCGGAUCAGAGACAGAGCCGGCAACCUCAGCAGGACUUGCUUGAGAAGAUCUUCGAUGUUCGCGACGGUUUCUGCUGAAGAGGGUGACAUUUUCAUCUCUCAAUUUGGGUUUUUCAUUCCAAUUCCUAAACCUUUGCUUCUCCUGUUAUAUAAAGGAGUGAAAUAAUGUAACGACAUGUCGUUCAUUCCAAUGUUCAUACUUCAUAAGUUCAUAGAGACUGACCUGUGAUCAGUUCAUGCACUCAUUUUUUUUAAAAGAUUCGGAAACGAAGAAGGGGUUGGAUUACUUUACCCUAAGGUAAUAUGGGUAAACACUUCAAAACAUACUUGAGCUGUAAUGUAAGGUUUAAACAACAAUGACUGAUCCUAUUUCAUGAUCUAUAGCAUUUCCAAAAUGCAUGUAUCGAGCAAAACUUAGAAUUAUUUUUUCGGUUCUGUACAUCCUCCUCAGAUCACAGGAAAUCUAACUGAUAAAAGAUCAAGAGAAUGCUAUCCACAAGGUGUGUAGCAUGUAAGACCUCUUAUUCUCUAUGGCAUACUAUCAACAGUUACCACAUGGAACAAUUUCAUUUAUCACUCCCGGAAGCCUCAGAAUGGUAGGUCGGAGAUCCUCUUCCAGAUGGAUAAUAGGAGUAUGCCAAGGCUGCUGUACCAAGUGUGAGGGCAGUAGCAAUCGAGCCCCAGACCCACCUUUGUCGUUUUGCCUUCUUCUCCCUGUCACGCCGCGCCAGCUCUACAUUAAAACAAACAUCAUUAGAGCUGAAAUAAGUUUCCAAAGGGAGAAAGAUUCAACAGGACAUAAACUGGUUCAAAAAGAGUAGUAGAAAUAUACACCCAGUACUCAUACAUAGAGCACUAUAUGUUACACCUAUCCAUCUAAUGCAAUUUUAGCAGUACGGAGAUAACUGUCAAAAAUGAUUUGAUAAGGAAGCAAGCUUUCCAGUUGCAUUCCCCUUGAAGGGCUGGGUUGUUCCAUUAUUGCUACUUUCAUAUUCUAACCUAAUAUUGACUUCAAAUAGAACUUAUAACUUGCUAAAGAGUUGGUACAAGGUAUAGAAAUCUCACCGAUGACAUCCUGAUUCCUCUGGACCAUUUCCUGAUUCAUAGCUUCAUAAUUAUGAAGCUUGUCGCACAACCUAGCAAUCUCAAAGUUCUUCGCCUCAAUCUGAUCUUCCAACUCUGCCUCCAUCUCUGCCCUUGCUAUGGCCCUCCCGAUAGAAUUUGAUACAAACCUAGCAAGAUAAAGCUGUUGCCCCAACUCUCCCACAGGAUCAGAACCUAGCUGCUCAUGGUCUGUUGUAACAGUGGGAUCUGCAGGAAGAGUCAAUCCUACAAGAGAUAACUGUUCCCUGAUCCUCUGCCACUGGUUCCGCAAGUUAUUCAAGGAUUCCUCAGCUUGCUUCCGCUUUUCUAUCUCCAUCACAAGACUCAAUCUCAUCUCACGUAGCUCAGUUUCAAGAUCACAACCCGAAAGCUGUUGGCUAUGACCACCCUCAGAUGAAAGUUCUAUACAAAAUAAGAAUAAAUGUAAGCUUUCAUUACUGCUGAAAGAGACUAUAAAAGACACAUAUGCAGACUAUGAAAAACUGAGAUCUUUCUUUCUCAGAGGAAAAAAAAAAAAAAAAACUAAUAAGUCCAAAAUGACAAAUUCUCAAAAUCUACAAGUCAUAAUUAAACUUCUGAAUGGGACAAACAAGAUAGGAUUUGCAUCCAUAGGUUAGCAAAUAUCAUGCAGAGGGUAUAUAAAUAUAUUUUCUUUACAUAAUCUUUUCAACAUUGAAACAGUUGAAUAUUUCUUUGUGAAACAAGUGUUUUCAUGCCUUUAAUUAGAACUAGCCACUUGCUAGUACUCUGAAGCAUAGUGCAACAUUUAUGAGAAACAGACGCUGGGAUUUCAAUUAUAGACAAGCCAUUGAACUCAAUAUAAAUUGAAAAAGUUAGUAUCAACGUUUAAAACAACACAAUGUAACACCUUUACUUAACAAGAUUAAUAAUUAAUAUGAACUAUUUUAGAAAGGCCAAGUUAAAGUUGCCUUAGUAACAUAAAUCCAUUACUUGGCAUAUAUAACUAACUUUAACGAGGCAAGCAUGUUCAACUGCUAUCAUUUGAAGAAAAUGUACGGUCAACUGGAGUGCAAUUUGUUUUAUAAGCAGUACGACGGUAAUAACUUUGGUAUGAAACAAAAGGAUCUUAGUGUGAAGUUUUUUGUUCAUGACAUGUAUGUCAGGUUCUCAAUUUCAACACGAGACAGUUGGUAAAUAGUCAAGUCAUUUUCAACUUCUGUUCAAACAUCUAAUAAAUUAAGUAAAUACAUCCAGAUUAAGUUCGCUAGUGCUUGAACAGAUAAAUAGAUGAUAUGUCGAAAGGAGAUAUCACAAGCAAAAAAAGAUGCUUCAACUUCAGAAAGAGCAACACACCAGAAAAUUACACCACAUACUACUUAACUGAAGACACCAACUCUGGUAAUGCAAUAGGACUAUUCAAUCUUUAACCAUGAUAUGCAGUACUUGUCAAGAAAAAAAAAACAUGAUAUGCAGUAACUUGGAUUAAUGUAACAAACAAGAGGAAGGAAAGUCCAAAAGACUUGAUGGGGAAAAAAACACAAAGAAAAACAAAGUUAAAGCCAAAUACCUUCCCAGGCAUCAUAAAACUCCCCAGCAGGUAUACCAAUAGGCACAGAACGCUCUGCCCCAGCAUUUCCCUCUCCAUCUGUGUUACUUGUGACACUCAUGUUAUCUUUUGGAUCAAAGAAAUCAUCACGAUCACUUUCGGAAGCCAUGGCACCUUGCUGGAACAAAUCAUCUUCCCUGGCUGAACCAUUAGUCAUACUACUAGUACCCAAUUCAACAUCACUGCUCCUAGGUACCCCAUUACUGGUCUCAAGGUUCCCAUUGCUGCUACCAAUAGGAUGGACACCAUUUGAAUGUUGUACUUGACUUGGCUUGGGUACGGUAAAAGUAAGUGAAUCAUCCACUGGAGAAGUUUCCGCCUUGGCCUCAAUGUCGGUGGUGCCAUUCAGUUUCUCUUUGUCUCCAGAUUUCUGGUGCAAGGAACCAUUCAGUUUCCCUUCAUCUCCAGAUUUCUGGUGUAACGAAACAUCCUGCUCCGAGUAACUCUUGAGAAGGCGUGGGCCACGGCGCUUGUGGUUGACAAUGUAAGGUGAUGAGGGAGGGAAAGAAGUGGGUGAAUCCGGUAGUGGAGUUGUCUCAGGAGUGGCAUAUAGUGCUGGCCUUAUUGGAGGUCGACGAGGCUUCCUCUCCAUAACCGAGGUGCUCUUCCUCCCCUCCAUAACCGAGGUACUAUUCCUCCUCUCCAGCUUCAUGGGUCCCUCAGGAACAGGCAUCGAAUGUGAAACAGGCUUGGGAAUAGGAACAGACACAUCGGCAGAUUUGGAAGAAGCACCAGAAUUAGGAACAGACAUGUCGGCAGAUUUGGAAGAAGCUCCAGCUUCUAAUAACCUAUCUAAAGCUAUGACAGAGAAAGUCGGCAUUUCUGCAGUAUCAAACAACCAAUAUUAGCAACAAAACCUUAACUCCUUCAACCAAUUCAGUAAACCGAAAACCAAACACUUCCAACACAUUCAUUUACCACAAAACUAGUGAAAACAUUCAAGUUCUGAUAACCUCUCUAAAAGCAUUUUCAACUCUCCUAACCUUCACCACACACCGAAAUUAACAACCAGUAAUCCUAAUACCAAACAUCUCCACUUUACUCCUUUAAUUACAAUCAGCAAAACAGCUAUACAUCAUCAACCAGCCAAAAUUAACACCAAAACCCAAACAACCAAACAUGCAGAAUCAUUUCAAUCUUAACUUUGAUAUAAAAAGUAAAAACCUCCAGGCUCUAACAACCUAAAUCAACAAGAAAACCCUACCUAACAAGCUCACUCAAUUCAUUUCAAUUUCUACAAAGUAAAAACCCUACGUAUUACAAACUACAAUAAAAAGAAAAUCGAAUCUGUACGAGACCUAAGGCCUUGUUUGGCCGCCGAGAAAUAACAAACAGCCACAGAAUCCAAGCUUCCAAGCGUCGCGGAACGCAGAAU